UACGAGGGGGGCAAGCGUUGUUCGGAAUUAUUGGGCGUAAAGGGCGCGUAGGCGGUGCGGUAAGUCUGUUGUGAAAUCUCCGGGCUCAACUCGGAGUCUGCAUCAGAAACUGCCGUGCUCGAGUGUGGGAGAGGUGAGUGGAAUUCCCGGUGUAGCGGUGAAAUGCGUAGAUAUCAGGAGGAACACCUGUGGCGAAAGCGGCUCACUGGACCACAACUGACGCUGAUGCACGAAAGCUAGGGGAGCAAACAGG
rnacentral:rRNA from 1 species